UACGUAGGGUGCAAGCGUUGUCCGGAGUUAUUGGGCGUAAAGAGCUCGUAGGCGGUUUGUCGCGUCUGCUGUGAAAACCCGAGGCUCAACCUCGGGCCUGCAGUGGGUACGGGCAGACUAGAGUGCGGUAGGGGAGAUUGGAAUUCCUGGUGUAGCGGUGGAAUGCGCAGAUAUCAGGAGGAACACCAAUGGCGAAGGCAGAUCUCUGGGCCGUAACUGACGCUGAGGAGCGAAAGCAUGGGGAGCGAACAGG
rnacentral:rRNA from 1 species